GGCCUGUGAUGUUUGAGAUUGUCCGUACCAUCUGAGAUUUCUCGUUGAUGAGUUUAAAUCCUCUAGGUUCUGAGGCUU
rnacentral:snoRNA from 2 species